rnacentral:rRNA from 1 species
AUGUUCGGGGUCUCGACGAGGAACUCGGCGUUUCGGUGCGAUGUAGGGGUACAAGUCAAAGGUUGUCGUGGUACUUGGUGUAACAUAGGUCUCCGGGGUCGUCGGGUACACGUUCACAUUGUAGCCGUACACGUCGAGGGUCUUAUCGGAACCUCGUCAAUAUUCGAGAUCCACCUUGACGAUCCGAAGAGGUACUUGGCAUCAUGGUACUUGGGUCUUGGCGGUUCGUCGUGUAGUCGUACAUGUAUCAUAGAGGAACUUGGUCUUGCGAAGAGGUACUUGACGGUAGUGGUACUUGACGCGUUUGAGGGUCGUUCAUGUCAUGGUACUUGGCAAAAUCCUCGGAGAAGGUGCUUGACGGUCCGGGUACGGUUCUUGGUGUCUCAUCCUUGA